GACGAACGCUGGCGGCGUGCUUAACACAUGCAAGUCGAGCGGUAAGGCCCUCUCGGGGGUACACGAGCGGCGAACGGGUGAGUAACACGUGGGUGACCUGCCCUCAGCUCUGGGAUAAGCCUGGGAAACCGGGUCUAAUACCGGAUAUGACUCCAUGACGCAUGUUGUGGGGUGGAAAGCCUUGUGCGGCUGAGGAUGGGCCCGCGGCCUAUCAGCUUGUUGGUGGGGNGAUGGCCUACCAAGGCGACGACGGGUAGCCGGCCUGAGAGGGCGACCGGCCACACUGGGACUGAGACACGGCCCAGACUCCUACGGGAGGCAGCAGUGGGGAAUCUUGCGCAAUGGGCGAAAGCCUGACGCAGCGACGCCGCGUGAGGGAUGACGGCCUGGUGU
rnacentral:rRNA from 1 species